rnacentral:sRNA from 1 species
CUCCGCGUUCCAGAAUCCAAGAUGGCGGGAUCCAGGCGAAGGGGUCUCCAGGCCAGAGUUCGGCCUCUGUUCUGCGCCUUGCUGCUGUCACUCAGUCGCUUCGUCCGGGGCGACGGCGUCGGAGGAGACCCCGCGGCCGCGUUGCCACAUCGCCGUUUCGAGUACAAAUACAGCUUCAAGGGGCCGCACCUGGUGCAGAGCGACGGGACCGUGCCCUUCUGGGCCCACGCGGGGAAUGCUAUUCCAAGUUCAGAUCAAAUUCGAGUAGCACCAUCUUUAAAAAGCCAAAGAGGCUCAGUAUGGACAAAGACAAAAGCAGCCUUUGAGAACUGGGAAGUUGAGGUGACAUUUCGAGUGACUGGAAGAGGUCGAAUUGGAGCUGAUGGCCUAGCAGUUUGGUAUGCAGAAAAUCAAGGCUUGGAGGGCCCUGUGUUUGGAUCAGCUGAUCUGUGGAAUGGUGUUGGAAUAUUUUUUGAUUCUUUUGACAAUGAUGGAAAGAAAAAUAAUCCUGCUAUAGUAAUUAUAGGCAACAAUGGACAAAUUCAUUAUGACCAUCAAAAUGAUGGUGCUAGUCAAGCUUUAGCAAGUUGCCAGAGGGACUUUCGUAAUAAACCCUAUCCUGUCCGAGCAAAGAUUACCUAUUACCAGAAAACAUUGACAGUAAGUAACAUUUAUUUAGAGAGAAUCAAAUAAACAAUGUUAUAGUAUCACUUUUCAUUUUGAAUUUUUGAUAGAAAUUAAAUGCACUUAAAUUUGGAUAUGCUUACAUACUCUUCAUUGUUACUCUAAGAAAACAGAGGUGGCUUCAAAGCUCAGUGUAAGUGGUCAUCUGUUGUAAACCCCUAAUGGUAUGUUUCCAUUUAGUCAGUAAAUGUUUAAGCAGCCUACUGUAUAGCACGUGUGAGAUAUAUAUAUAUAUAUAUACACACACACACAUACAUAGCUAGAUAGAUAGAUAUAUCUAUAUAGAUAGAUAGAUAGGUAGAUAGAUAGACAGAUAGACAGACAAUCUCCAAGCCUUCAGGAUGCAAAUAUGAGUAAGACAGACAGACUUUCUCCCCAGAGAGCUUAUAGCCUAACAGAGGACACACGAAUGUAGCAUUCCUAUGCUGUGUGAUAAAUAUUACGUUGCAGACACUAUCAAGUGGUCCUGUGGUUGGAAUCCUGUAACUGCUAGAUAGAGGUGGGGAAGGGCAGGAACAUUUUCUCAGAGUUGAGCUGUGCCCU